GCCUGGCUGGCUCAUUCAGUAGAGCAUGCAACUCUUGAUCUCAGGGUCGUGAGUUCAAGCCCCAUGUUGGGCG
rnacentral:tRNA from 1 species